rnacentral:rRNA from 1 species
AGUGAACGCUGGCGGUAGGCCUAACACAUGCAAGUCGAACGGCAGCACAGUAAGAGCUUGCUCUUACGGGUGGCGAGUGGCGGACGGGUGAGGAAUACAUCGUAAUCUACUUUUUCGUGGGGGAUAACGUAGGGAAACUUACGCUAAUACCGCAUACGACCUACGGGUGAAAGCAGGGGAUCUUCGGACCUUGCGCGAUUGAAUGAGCCGAUGUCGGAUUAGCUAGUUGGCGGGGUAAAGGCCCACCAAGGCGACGAUCCGUAGCUGGUCUGAGAGGAUGAUCAGCCACACUGGAACUGAGACACGGUCCAGACUCCUACGGGAGGCAGCAGUGGGGAAUAUUGGACAAUGGGCGCAAGCCUGAUACAGCCAUACCGCGUGGGUGAAGAAGGCCUUCGGGUUGUAAAGCCCUUUUGUUGGGAAAGAAAAGCAGCAGGUUAAUACCCCGCUGUUCUGACGGUACCCAAAGAAUAAGCACCGGCUAACUUCGUG